rnacentral:lncRNA from 1 species
AGAACUUUUCCUGAACAUUGGGCUUGCCUGGAGAUGACAUUGAAAAGUUCCCUUAUUACAGGCAGACAGCUGAAUGCCCUCAAGCUGAAACUCUGCGUGUUUAAUGCCACAUCUGAGUUUUUGCAUAUGAGUGAAACUGCAGCUCUGGGACGAUUCAGGGAGUUUUCUCUGCAGAGUAAUUUUGGUUCUUGUCCUGAUUUCUCUCCAGCCUUUCCACUGCUAUUACAGCUCUGGUAUCCUAUAGCAAGUAAGAACAUAACACUACAACUGUUCACACGUGGGAGAUGGAGGAACUGCAUUAAGAGCCCAUCAGAUAGGAAAGUAAGAGGCUGCUUAGGUUUGUAUGGAGCCACUUCCAAGUUUGG